UCCUCAGUAGCUCAGUGGUAGAGCGGUCGGCUGCUAACCAAUUGGUCGUAGGUUCGAAUCCUACUUGGGGAG
rnacentral:tRNA from 2 species